AGCAGGCCCGUAAAUUGCCCGAAUCCUGACACAGGGAGGUAGUGACAAGAAAUAACGAUACAGGGCUACAUCUAGUCUUGUAAUUGGAAUGAGUACAAUUUACAUCUCUUAACGAUGAUCAAUUGGAGGGCAAGUCUGGUGCCAGCAGCCGCGGUAAUUCCAGCUCCAAUAGCGUAUAUUAAAGUUGUUGCAGUUAGAACGCUCGUAGUCGGAUUUCGGGGCGGUCCGACCGGUCUGCCGAUGGGUACGCACUGGUCGGAGCGUCCUUUUUGCCGGAGACCGUUCCUACUCUUAACUGAGCGGGAGCGGGAGACGGCACCUUUAUUUUGAAAAAAUCAGAGUGUUUCAAGCAGGCAGCUCGCUCUUGCAUGGAUUAGCAUGGGAUAAUGAAAUAGGACUUUGGUGCUAUUUUGUUGGUUUCGAACACCGAAGUAAUGAUGAGAAGGGACAGUCAGGGGCACUCGUAUUCCGCCGAGAGAGGUGAAAUUCUCAGACCAGCGGAAGGCGAACCACUGCGAAAGCAUUUGCCAGGGAUGUUUUCACUGAUCAAGAACGAAAGUUAGGGGAUCGAAGACGAUCAGAUACCGUCGUAGUCUUAACCAUAAACCAUGCCAACUAGGGAUUGGAGGAUGUUCACUGAUUGACUCCUUCAGCACCUUACGGGAAACUAAAGUCUUUGGGUUCCGGGGGGAGUAUGGUCGCAAGGCUGAAACUUAAAGGAAUUGACGGAAGGGCACCACCAGGUGUGGAGCCUGCGGCUUAAUUUGACUCAACACGGGGAAACUUACCAGGUCCAGACAUUGUGAGGAUUGACAGAUUGAGAGCUCUUUCUUGAUUUAAUGGGUGGUGGUGCAUGGCCGUUCUUAGUUGGUGGAGUAAUUUGUCUGGUUAAUUCCGUUAACGAACGAGACCUUAGCCUGCUAAUAGUGACGCGAACUCCUUGUUCGCGGACCACUUCUUAGAGGGACAACUUGUCUUCAACAAGUGGAAGUUUGAGGCAAUAACAGGUCUGUGAUGCCCUUAGAUGUUCUGGGCCGCACGCGCGCUACACUGAUGCACUCAACGAGUCUCUACCUUGACCGAGAGGUCCGGGAAACCUUCGAACUUGCAUCGUGAUGGGGAUAGAUUAUUGCAACUAUUAAUCUUCAACGAGGAAUACCUAGUAGGCGCAUGUCAUCAGCGUACGUUGAGGU
rnacentral:rRNA from 1 species